rnacentral:rRNA from 1 species
UACGUAGGGUGCAAGCGUUAAUCGGAAUCACUGGGCGUAAAGCGCACGUAGGCGGACUUUCAAGUCAGGGGUGAAAUCCCGGGGCUCAACCUCGGAAUUGCCUUUGAUACUGUAGGUCUCGAGUCCGGAAGAGGUGGGUGGAAUUCCUAGUGUAGAGGUGAAAUUCGUAGAUAUUAGGAAGAACACCGGUGGCGAAGGCGGCCCACUGGUCCGGUACUGACGCUGAGGUGCGAAAGCGUGGGGAGCAAACAGG